UACGCGGAUUUGAUAAUGUUAGUACUGCAACUAAAGGCAGUGCUAAACGCGGAUUAAAAUACACAACCCAACAACUUCCUACUUCAAGUGAAGGUAUCCUCUCGGUCACCCUCAGCAGUCUCACCCUCCUCCAGGUUGCUGAACUCCAGGUAGUGGGUUGGUCUAUGGUCCUCAUGGUAAUACUCCCGUGGUGUCCCCAGCUUGAU
rnacentral:misc_RNA from 1 species